GGUUAAGCGACUAAGCGUACACGGUGGAUGCCCUGGCAGUCAGAGGCGAUGAAGGACGUGCUAAUCUGCGAUAAGCGUCGGUAAGGUGAUAUGAACCGUUAUAACCGGCGAUUUCCGAAUGGGGAAACCCAGUGUGUUUCGACACACUAUCAUUAACUGAAUCCAUAGGUUAAUGAGGCGAACCGGGGGAACUGAAACAUCUAAGUACCCCGAGGAAAAGAAAUCAACCGAGAUUCCCCCAGUAGCGGCGAGCGAACGGGGAGCAGCCCAGAGCCUGAAUCAGUGUGUGUGUUAGUGGAAGUGUCUGGAAAGGCGCGCGAUACAGGGUGACAGCCCCGUACACAAAAAUGCACAUGCUGUGAGCUCGAUGAGUAGGGCGGGACACGUGGUAUCCUGUCUGAAUAUGGGGGGACCAUCCUCCAAGGCUAAAUACUCCUGACUGACCGAUAGUGAACCAGUACCGUGAGGGAAAGGCGAAAAGAACCCCGGCGAGGGGAGUGAAAAAGAACCUGAAACCGUGUACGUACAAGCAGUGGGAGCCCUGAUUUAUCAGGGUGACUGCGUACCUUUUGUAUAAUGGGUCAGCGACUUAUAUUCUGUAGCAAGGUUAACCGAAUAGGGGAGCCGGAGGGAAACCGAGUCUUAACUGGGCGUUAAGUUGCAGGGUAUAGACCCGAAACCCGGUGAUCUAGCCAUGGGCAGGUUGAAGGUUGGGUAACACUAACUGGAGGACCGAACCGACUAAUGUUGAAAAAUUAGCGGAUGACUUGUGGCUGGGGGUGAAAGGCCAAUCAAACCGGGAGAUAGCUGGUUCUCCCCGAAAGCUAUUUAGGUAGCGCCUCGUGAAUUCAUCUCCGGGGGUAGAGCACUGUUUCGGCAAGGGGGUCAUCCCGACUUACCAACCCGAUGCAAACUGCGAAUACCGGAGAAUGUUAUCACGGGAGACACACGGCGGGUGCUAACGUCCGUCGUGAAGAGGGAAACAACCCAGACCGCCAGCUAAGGUCCCAAAGUCAUGGUUAAGUGGGAAACGAUGUGGGAAGGCCCAGACAGCCAGGAUGUUGGCUUAGAAGCAGCCAUCAUUUAAAGAAAGCGUAAUAGCUCACUGGUCGAGUCGGCCUGCGCGGAAGAUGUAACGGGGCUAAACCAUGCACCGAAGCUGCGGCAGCGACACUGUGUGUUGUUGGGUAGGGGAGCGUUCUGUAAGCCUGUGAAGGUGUGCUGUGAGGCAUGCUGGAGGUAUCAGAAGUGCGAAUGCUGACAUAAGUAACGAUAAAGCGGGUGAAAAGCCCGCUCGCCGGAAGACCAAGGGUUCCUGUCCAACGUUAAUCGGGGCAGGGUGAGUCGACCCCUAAGGCGAGGCCGAAAGGCGUAGUCGAUGGGAAACAGGUUAAUAUUCCUGUACUUGGUGUUACUGCGAAGGGGGGACGGAGAAGGCUAUGUUGGCCGGGCGACGGUUGUCCCGGUUUAAGCGUGUAGGCUGGUUUUCCAGGCAAAUCCGGAGAAUCAAGGCUGAGGCGUGAUGACGAGGCACUACGGUGCUGAAGCAACAAAUGCCCUGCUUCCAGGAAAAGCCUCUAAGCAUCAGGUAACAUCAAAUCGUACCCCAAACCGACACAGGUGGUCAGGUAGAGAAUACCAAGGCGCUUGAGAGAACUCGGGUGAAGGAACUAGGCAAAAUGGUGCCGUAACUUCGGGAGAAGGCACGCUGAUAUGUAGGUGAAGCGACUUGCUCGUGGAGCUGAAAUCAGUCGAAGAUACCAGCUGGCUGCAACUGUUUAUUAAAAACACAGCACUGUGCAAACACGAAAGUGGACGUAUACGGUGUGACGCCUGCCCGGUGCCGGAAGGUUAAUUGAUGGGGUCAGCGCAAGCGAAGCUCUUGAUCGAAGCCCCGGUAAACGGCGGCCGUAACUAUAACGGUCCUAAGGUAGCGAAAUUCCUUGUCGGGUAAGUUCCGACCUGCACGAAUGGCGUAAUGAUGGCCAGGCUGUCUCCACCCGAGACUCAGUGAAAUUGAACUCGCUGUGAAGAUGCAGUGUACCCGCGGCAAGACGGAAAAGACCCCGUGAACCUUUACUAUAGCUUGACACUGAACACUGGUCCUUGAUGUGUAGGAUAAGGUGGGAGGCUUUGAAGUGUGGACGCCAGUCUGCAUGGAGCCGUCCUUGAAAUACCACCCUUUAAUGGCUGGUGUUCUAACGUUGGCCCCUUACCGGGGUUGCGGACAGUGUCUGGUGGGUAGUUUGACUGGGGCGGUCUCCUCCUAAAGAGUAACGGAGGAGCACGAAGGUUGGCUAAUCCUGGUCGGACAUCAGGAGGUUAGUGCAAUGGCAUAAGCCAGCUUGACUGCGAGCGUGACGGCGCGAGCAGGUGCGAAAGCAGGUCAUAGUGAUCCGGUGGUUCUGAAUGGAAGGGCCAUCGCUCAACGGAUAAAAGGUACUCCGGGGAUAACAGGCUGAUACCGCCCAAGAGUUCAUAUCGACGGCGGUGUUUGGCACCUCGAUGUCGGCUCAUCACAUCCUGGGGCUGAAGUAGGUCCCAAGGGUAUGGCUGUUCGCCAUUUAAAGUGGUACGCGAGCUGGGUUUAGAACGUCGUGAGACAGUUCGGUCCCUAUCUGCCGUGGGCGCUGGAGAACUGAGGGGGGCUGCUCCUAGUACGAGAGGACCGGAGUGGACGCAUCACUGGUGUUCGGGUUGUCAUGCCAAUGGCACUGCCCGGUAGCUAAAUGCGGAAGAGAUAAGUGCUGAAAGCAUCUAAGCACGAAACUUGCCCCGAGAUGAGUUCUCCCUGAGACCUGGAGUCUCCUGAAGGAACGUUGAAGACGACGACGUUGAUAGGCCGGGUGUGUAAGCGCAGCGAUGCGUUGAGCUAACCGGUACUAAUGAACCGUGAGGCUUAACCUU
rnacentral:rRNA from 1 species